AGCUUGCUGCUUCGCUGACAGUGCGGACGGUGAGUAAUGUCUGGGAAACUGCCUGAUGGAGGGGGAUAACUACUGGAAACGGUAGCUAAUACCGCAUAACGUCGCAAGACCAAGAGGGGACCUCGGCCUCUUGCCAUCAGAUGUGCCCAGAUGGGAUUAGCUAGUAGGUGGGUAACGGCUCACCUAGGCGACGAUCCCCUAGCUGGUCUGAGAGGAUGACCAGCCACACUGGAACUGAGACACGGUCCAGACUCC
rnacentral:rRNA from 1 species